ACAGUUUGAUUCUGACUGAAAAAUUAAUUAAAACCAACCAUUAUACAUGUAAAGAAAACUAAGCCCGCAUUAAAAAUCCCUAAAAGACCUAAUAAAUGUAUUCAGCUUACUUAAUACAACAGGGCGCCACAGUAAGUAACACUUUUCAAUUUGAAAAAUCAAGAAAAGAGUAUGGUUUAAAGGCUGGCAAAAUUCGUGCCAGCUGCCGCGGUUAGACGAUAAGCCUAAAUUAAUACAAUAUAAGCUAAAUUAAUGAUAAAUUAAAAAAUAAUAAAAGUCUAAUUUUUAAAAUAUAUGAACCACAUUUAUCAAACAAAAAUGAAAUCAUGAACUAAAACAUGGAUUAGAUACCCAUCUAUUCAUGAUCUAAAUAACAGUUGAAUAUUACGAACAAUAGUUUAAAAUUCAAAGAUUUUGGCGGUGUCUUAUAAAACCAGGGGAACCUGUCUCAUAACUCGAUAAUCCACGUACACCAAACCUUCUCUUGAUAUACAGCAUGUGUACUGCCGUUGUAAGCAUACCUUUAAAAGAUUAGUAUGCUACUAUGAUUAUAACUCAUAUACAUCAGGUCAAAGUGCAGCCAAUAAGAAGGUGAUGAUGGGUUACAACCCCAAAACAGACUAUCAACUAAGAAAUUAAAAAUCUUACGAAAGUGGACUUGGCCGUAAUCAAUUAUAAAUUAAAGAAAUGAAUAAUAUCUAAGACAUGUACACAUCGCCCGUCACUCUAUCCUAAAGGUUAGAUAAGUCGUAACAAAGUAGGUGUAAUGGAAAUUGUACCUGU
rnacentral:ncRNA from 1 species